rnacentral:rRNA from 1 species
GUGGGGAAUAUUGGACAAUGGGGGAAACCCUGAUGCAGCGACGCCGCGUGAGUGAUGAAGGCCUUCGGGUCGUAAAGCUCUGUCGUAUGGGACUAACAAAAUGAAGGUACCAUGCAAGAAAGGAUCGGCUAACUUCGUGCCAGCAGCCGCGGUAAGACGAGGGAUCCUAGCGUUGUUCGGAAUUAUUGGGCGUAAAGCGGGUGUAGGCGGGCCUGUCAGUCAGGUGUGAAAUCCCAGGGCUUAACCCUGGAAGUGCACUUGAUACUGCAGGUCUUGAGUGUGGUAGAGGCUAUUAGAAUUCUUGGUGUAGUGGUGAAAUACGUAGAUAUCAAGAGGAAUACCGGAGGCGAAGGCGGAUAGCUGGGCCAACACUGACGCUGAGACCCGAAAGCGUGGGGAUCAAACAGGAUUAGAAACCCGUGUAGUCC